rnacentral:rRNA from 1 species
AUACGGAGGACGCGAGCGUUAUCCGGAUUCAUUGGGUUUAAAGGGUGCGCAGGCGGCCGUGCAAGUCAGCGGUGAAAGCCCCGGGCUCAACCCCGGAAGUGCCGUUGAUACUGCAUGGCUGGAAUGCGGUCGAGGCGGGCGGGACGUGGCGUGUAGCGGGGAAAUGCGUUGAAAUGCCACAGAACGCCGAUAGCGGAGGCCGCUCGCCAGACCUGCAUUGACGCUCGGGCACGAAAGCGUGGGGGUCGAACAGGAUUAGAUACCCUGGUAGUCCACGCCGUAAACGAUGGGCGCUCAUCGUCGGCGGCAGACAGUCGGCGGCCAAGCGAAAGCGAUAAGCGCCCCACCUGGGGAGUACGGUCGCAAGGCUGAAACUCAAAUGAAUUGACGGGG